CACGUAGGGCGCAAGCGUUGUCCGGAAUUAUUGGGCGUAAAGAGCUCGUAGGCGGUCUGUUACGUCUGCUGUGAAAACCCAGGGCUUAACCCUGGGCUUGCAGUGGAUACGGGCAAACUAGAGGCAGGUAGGGGAGAAUGGAAUUCCCGGUGUAGCGGUGAAAUGCGCAGAUAUCGGGAGGAACACCGGUGGCGAAGGCGGCAUCCUGGACCGACACUGACGCUGAGGCGCGAAAGCUAGGGUAGCAAACGGG
rnacentral:rRNA from 1 species